rnacentral:rRNA from 1 species
GUAGGCGGUUUGUCGCGUCUGCUGUGAAAGCCCGGGGCUUAACCCCGGGUGUGCAGUGGGUACGGGCAGACUAGAGUGCAGUAGGGGAGACUGGAAUUCCUGGUGUAGCGGUGAAAUGCGCAGAUAUCAGGAGGAACACCGAUGGCGAAGGCAGGUCUCUGGGCUGUUACUGACGCUGAGAAGCGAAAGCAUGGGGAGCGAACAGGAUUAGAUACCCUGGUAGUCCAUGCCGUAAACGUUGGGCACUAGGUGUGGGGGACAUUCCACGUUUUCCGCGCCGUAGCUAACGCAUUAAGUGCCCCGCCUGGGGAGUACGGCCGCAAGGCUAAAACUCAAAGGAAUUGACGGGGGCCCGCACAAGCGGCGGAGCAUGCGGAUUAAUUCGAUGCAACGCGAAGAACCUUACCAAGGCUUGACAUGGACCGGACCGCUGCAGAGAUGUAGCUUCCCUUCGGGGCUGGUUCACAGGUGGUGCAUGGUUGUCGUCAGCUCGUGUCGUGAGAUGUUGGGUUAAGUCCCGCAACGAGCGCAACCCUUGUCCUAUGUUGCCAGCACGUAAAGGUGGGGACUCAUGGGAGACUGCCGGGGUCAACUCGGAGGAAGGUGGGGAUGACGUCAAAUCAUCAUGCCCCUUAUGUCUUGGGCUUCACGCAUGCUACAAUGGCCGGUACAGUGGGUUGCGAUACUGUGAGGUGGAGCUAAUCCCUAAAAGCCGGUCUCAGUUCGGAUCGAAGUCUGCAACUCGACUUCGUGAAGUUGGAGUCG